GACGAACGCUGGCGGCGUGCUUAACACAUGCAAGUCGAGCGGUAAGGCCCUUUCGGGGGUACACGAGCGGCGAACGGGUGAGUAACACGUGGGUGACCUGCCCUCAGCUCUGGGAUAAGCCUGGGAAACUGGGUCUAAUACUGGAUAUGACUCCACGGUGCAUGUCGUGGGGUGGAAAGCCUUGUGCGGCUGAGGAUGGGCCCGCGGCCUAUCAGCUUGUUGGUGGGGUGANGGCCUACCAAGGCGACGACGGGUAGCCGGCCUGAGAGGGCGACCGGCCACACUGGGACUGAGACACGGCCCAGACUCCUACGGGAGGCAGCAGUGGGGAAUCUUAGCGCAAUGGGCGAAAGCCUGACGCAGCGACGCCGCGUGAGGGAUGACGGCCU
rnacentral:rRNA from 1 species